CAGCCGCGGGAACACCGGCAGCUCUAGUGGUAGCUGUUUUAUUGGGCCUAAAGCGUUCGUAGCCGGUUUAAUAAGUCUCUGGUGAAAUCCUAUAGCUUAACUGUGGGAAUUGCUGGAGAUACUAUUAGACUUGAGAUCGGGAGAGGUCAGAGGUACUCCUGGGGUAGGGGUGAAAUCCUGUAAUCCUAGGAGGACCACCUGUGGCGAAGGCGUCUGACUAGAACGAAUCUGACGGUGAGGAACGAAAGCUAGGGGCGCGAACUGGAUUAGAUACCCGGGUAGUCCUAGCCGUAAACUAUGCGGACUUGGUGUGAGGGUGGCUUUGAGCCGUCCUGGUGCCGAAGGGAAGCUGUUAAGUCCGCCGCCUGGGAAGUACGGUCGCAAGACUGAAACUUAAGGAAUUGGCGGGGGAGCACCACAACGCGUGGAGCCUGCCGGUUUAAUUGGAUUCAACGCCGGAGAUCUCACCAGCGGCGACAGCAGUAUGAUGACCAGGUUGAUGACUUUGUUUGACAAGCUGAGAGAAGUGGUGCAUGG
rnacentral:rRNA from 1 species